rnacentral:tRNA from 1 species
GCCCGCGUGGCGGAACUGGUAGACGCGCAGGACUCAAAAUCCUGUGAAGGCAACUUCGUGUCGGUUCGAUCCCGACCGCGGGCACCA